CCCAGGACCAACUUGUUUACUGAUUGUUUUCACUUGGCACAACCAGUUAGCUAAACUUGCUUGACUAUAUGACCAGAGAGUCAUAAAAGACCCCACUGGGAAUUUACCUCCCGGUAGAUUAUCUCCUGAGGUCAAGAUUCAUUGUGCAGAUCUUGAAGGUUCAGUCUGGAGAGGAAGCCCUUGGAGAGCUAAGAAGGACCUUUUGGAGCUUGCGCAUGGGCUGUCUCUGGACCUCCAAUGCUUGCCUGCACUCUUCUCUUGCUGCACUGCAUGCAACCUCUGCCUGUGUAUUAAAGCCUUCUGUGACUCCGCCUUGUGGAUCCUGGUUAGAACGUGGAAGAAUUUUGACACUCCUUUAAAACAUCAAGUUUAUUACGCUCUGUUGAUGAUCUCGAAGCUGCAAACAGCUGUCAGACCUGUUGACUCUGACUCCUACAAACUUGAAGUAACUGCGCCUUCACCUUACUUUCUGCUACUAUUCCUGAAAAUGUGCUAAAUGAGAGGCCACUUACCUAGUUCUGGAGACACUGGGAACCCAGGAAGGCCUACUCAAGAAUGAAGAUAUUGACUGAGAACUCUUCAUCUGUGAGCAGAGAACAACACAUGGAAGGCUUCACUUUUGGUGGUGUGGGCUGAGAGCAUAAAGGCUGGCCUCAGCCCUGCCUCUGACAGCCAAAUAAAGAGAAAUUUAGGGGUGUCAACAUCCAUUCUGGAAGUUGUAGAUUUCCCCAGGCAGAUAAUUUAAUUUCUUAAUUUUUUAAAUGUAAAAAUAAAGAAGACAUAAUCCUUUGCACUACAGGAGCUUUUGCCAGAGAAUUG
rnacentral:lncRNA from 1 species